CUGGCUCAGGAUGAACGCUAGCGACAGGCCUAACACAUGCAAGUCGAGGGGCAGCGCGGAGUAGCAAUACUUGGCGGCGACCGGCGCACGGGUGAGUAACACGUAUGCAACCAACCCAUAACAGGGGGAUAACCCGGAGAAAUCCGGACUAAUACCGCAUAAGACCACGAUAUCGCAUGAUAUAGAGGUCAAAUAUUUAUAAGUUAUGGACGGGCAUGCGUCUGAUUAGCUGGUUGGCGGGGUAACGGCCCACCAAGGCAUCGAUCAGUAGGGGUUCUGAGAGGAAGGUCCCCCACAUUGGAACUGAGACACGGUCCAAACUCCUACGGGAGGCAGCAGUGAGGAAUAUUGGUCAAUGGGCGAAAGCCUGAACCAGCCAUGUCGCGUGAAGGAUGAAGGUCCUAUGGAUUGUAAACUUCUUUUGCAGGAGGGUAAAGUGAGCUACGUGUAGUUCAUUGCAAGUACCCUGCGAAUAAGCAUCGGCUAACUCCGUGCCAGCAGCAGC
rnacentral:rRNA from 1 species